CAUGUAGGCGGGGAUAUAAGUCAGAUGUGAAAUCCUGUGGCUCAACCACAGACGUGCAUCUGAAACUAUAUCUCUUGAGUAUUGGAGAGGAAAGUGGAAUUCCUAGUGUAGCGGUGAAAUGCGUAGAUAUUAGGAGGAACACCGGUGGCGAAGGCGACUUUCUGGACAAUUACUGACGCUGAGAUGCGAAAGCGUGGGGAGCAAACAGGAUUAGAUACCCUGGUAGUCC
rnacentral:rRNA from 1 species